CUUUCUUUGCUGGCGACCGGCGCACGGGUGAGUAACACGUAUCCAACCUGCCCUUUACUCGGGGAUAGCCUUUCGAAAGAAAGAUUAAUACCCGAUAGCAUAAUGAUUCCGCAUGGUUUCAUUAUUAAAGGAUUCCGGUAAAGGAUGGGGAUGCGUUCCAUUAGGUUGUUGGUGAGGUAACGGCUCACCAAGCCUUCGAUGGAUAGGGGUUCUGAGAGGACGGUCCCCCACAUUGGAACUGAGACACGGUCCAA
rnacentral:rRNA from 1 species